rnacentral:precursor_RNA from 1 species
CCUUGAUGAUCGUUCUCCUCUCUCUGGUUGAGAGAGGCAGAGGGAGAGAACACCGUCUGAGUGG